rnacentral:rRNA from 1 species
UCCGUAGGUGGCAAGCGUUGUCCGGAUUUAUUGGGUUUAAAGGGUGCGUAGGCGGCAUGAUAAGUUAGUGGUGAAAUCGUGCCGCUUAACGGUAUACUCGCCAUUAAUACUGUCGGGCUUGAGUAAGUGUAAGGGAGAUGGAAUGCGUGGUGUAGCGGUGAAAUGCAUAGAUAUCACGCAGAACGCCGAUUGCGAAGGCAGUUUUCUGGCACUUAACUGACGCUGAGGCACGAAAGCGUGGGUAGAGAACAGG